GGCACAGUGGUAGAGUGGUUAAUACGUAUCCCUUGAAUUUUUCAGCCAGGAUAUCCCUUAGGGGUCGCAGGUUCGAAUCCUGUCUGUGUCG